AGUGAUCUGUGUGUUUUGUCGUUGUGAACUGAGCAAUCAUCGCAGGAUGUCCAGUCUGAAAUACCACUUGAUGGCCAAGCACACAGCUGACGCCAAUUCUCCGCCCCCUCGUCAAGGACAGGCGACAGAAGCA